GAAAGAGCUGCCAUGUGGACACCAAGAUCAUCAUCAGAUGCAUGACGAGCAGUCAACACUCAACAGAAGGAAACAAUUCUGCCUGGAAGAAAAAAGUUUUGCCUCUCAGAAAACAUGAGAUUCUGCAGCAUCAUCCUGAUUUUGAACCUUUUUACUAACAUAACCAAAACACAACAGACUGCAUUGAUGGAAACCCUCAAAUGCUUAAAUGACUUUAAGUCCUACAUAGGCUGCACGUGGUCUGAACGUCAGGAUGCGAGGAAGUUUGUAAAGAUGAACCUUCUGUACAGUGUUGAAGGGAAUCUGAUGCAGAUGAUAUGUAGUUCCCAGGAACGAAUGUACGAGAUAGAUUGGAGCUGCUACAGAAACAAAAGCUAUUUCAAUCCAUUAGAAAAUGCUGCCUUCAUUUUCAGACCAGAGCCAAAAUUGGAACUAGA
rnacentral:lncRNA from 1 species